rnacentral:tRNA from 1 species
GGUUAUGGCUCAGUGGUAGAGUGCUUGCCUAGCAUGCACAAGGCACUGGGUUUGAUCCUCAGCACCA